GUCAUGGGAUAGCUCAGUCGGUAGAGCAUGAGACUCUUAAUCUCAGGGUCGUGGGUUCAAAUCCCACGUUGGGCA